ensembl:lncRNA GBA1LP glucosylceramidase beta 1 like, pseudogene
AGUCCCGCCCACGCGCCUUUGGAGGCUGCGGUGGGAUUUCCUUUUGCCUUCGGUUGGGGCUGCUGUUUCUCUUCGCCGACGUGGAUCCUCUAUCCUUCAGAGACUCUGGAACCCCUGUGCUCUUCUCCUCAUCUAGUGACCCUGAGGUGAUGGAGUUUUCAAGUCCUUCCAGAGAGGAAUGUCCCAAGCCUUCGGGUAGGGUGCCUUCAGCCGCUACAAGAGCAGAAGCAGUGGGCAUUGGAUGGAGCUGAGUACAGGACCAUACAGGCUAAUUGCACCGGCACAGGAAUCGGAUAUAACAUCAUCUGGGUACCCAUGGCCAGCUGUGACUUCUCCAUCCGCACCUACACCUAUGCAGACACCCCUGAUGAUUUCCAGUUGCACAACUUCAGCCUCCCAGAGGAAGAUACCAAGCUCAAGAUACCCCUGAUUCACCGAGCCCUGCAGUUGGCCCAGCGUCCCGUUUCACUCCUUGCCAGCCCCUGGACAUCACCCACUCGGCUCAAGACCAGGGGAGCGGGGAAUGGGAAGGGGCCACUCAAGGGACAGCCCAGAGACAUCUACCACCAGACCUGGGCCAGAUACAUUGUGAAGUUCCUGGAUGCCUAUGCUGAGCACAAGUUACAGUUCUGGGCAGUGACAGCUGAAAAUGAGCCUUCUGCUGGGCUGUUGAGUGGAUACCCCUUCCAGUGCCUGGGCUUCACCCCUGAACAUCAGCGAGACUUCAUUGCCCGUGACCUAGGUCCUACCCUUGCCAACGGUACUCACCACAAUGUCCGCCUACUCAUGCUGGAUGACCAACGCUUGCUGCUGCCCCACUGGGCAAAGGUGGUACUGACAGACCCAGAAGCAGCUAAAGGCCUGUGUGGGUUCCAAGUUCUGGGAGCAGAGUGUGCGGCUAGGCUCCUGGGAUCGAGGGAUGCAGUACAGCCACAGCAUCAUCACAAACCUCCUGUACCAUGUGGUCGGCUGGACCGACUGGAACCCAUCAUUGUAGACAUCACCAAGCACACGUUUUACAAACAGCCCAUGUUCUACCACCUUGGCCACUUCAGCAAGUUCAUUCCUGAGGGCUCCCAGAGAGUGGGGCUGGUUGCCAGUCAGAAGAACGACCCGGACGCAGUGGCACUGAUGCAUCCCGAUGGCUCUGCUGUUGUGGUCGUGCUAAACCGCUCCUCUAAGGAUGUGCCUCUUACCAUCAAGGAUCCUGCUGUGGGCUUCCUGGAGACAAUCUCACCUGGCUACUCCAUUCACACCUACCUGUGGCGUCGCCAGUGAUGGAGCAGAUACUCAAGGAGGCACUGGGCUCAGCCUGGGCAUUAAAGGGACAGAGUCAGCUCACACGCUGUCUGUGACUAAAGAGGGCACAGCAGGGCCAGUGUGAGCUUACAGCGACGUAAGCCCAGGGGCAAUGGUUUGGGUGACUCACUUUCCCCUCUAGGUGGUGCCAGGGGCUGGAGGCCCCUAGAAAAAGAUCAGUAAGCCCCAGUGUCCCCCCAGCCCCCAUGCUUAUGUGAACAUGCGCUGUGUGCUGCUUGCUUUGGAAACUGGGCCUGGGUCCAGGCCUAGGGUGAGCUCACUGUCCGUACAAACACAAGAUCAGGGCUGAGGGUAAGGAAAAGAAGAGACUAGGAAAGCUGGGCCCAAAACUGGAGACUGUUUGUCUUUCCUGGAGAUGCAGAACUGGGCCCGUGGAGCAGCAGUGUCAGCAUCAGGGCGGAAGCCUUAAAGCAGCAGCGGGUGUGCCCAGGCACCCAGAUGAUUCCUAUGGCACCAGCCAGGAAAAAUGGCAGCUCUUAAAGGAGAAAAUGUUUGAGCCCA